AUGGCUACGAAUCCCGGCAUCCUCAGCGAGUGGCCAUGGAAGAGGCUCGGCAGCUUCAAGUAUCUUGUGCUGGCGCCAUGGGUGGCGCACGGGUGCCACCUCGCGGCGACCGAGGGGUGGAGGGAGCUGGACCUGGGCUACGUCGCCAUCCUCCCGUCGAUGCUGCUCCGGGCGCUCCACGACCAGGCAUGGAUCACCGUGUCCCGCCUCUACAACGCGCGCGGGAAGCGCCAGAUCGUCGACCGCGGCAUCGAGUUCGAUCAGGUCGACCGCGAGCGCAACUGGGACGAUCAGAUCAUCCUGAGCGCCAUCCUGCUGCUCCUGGGCGCGGUGUACAUGCCGGGCGGGCAGAACCUGCCAUGGUGGAGGACUGACGGCGCGGUGCUGCUGCUGCUGCUGCACGCCGGCCCGGUCGAGUUCCUCUACUACUGGUUCCACCGCGCGCUGCACCACCACUUCCUCUACACGCGCUACCAUUCGCACCACCACGCCUCCAUCGUCACCGAGCCAAUCACAUCCGUCAUCCAUCCCUUUGCCGAGCUACUGGCCUAUCAACUGCUGUUCUCGGUCCCAAUGAUCACCUGCGCACUGACUGGAACUGCCUCCAUAAUCACGUUCGAGAUCUAUGUGAUCUACAUUGACUUCAUGAACAACAUGGGCCACUGCAACUUCGAACUGGUGCCUAAUCGGCUCUUCGAAUGGAUCCCCCCUCUCAAGUAUCUCAUGUACACACCAUCGUUUCAUUCUCUUCACCACACUCAGUUCCGGACAAACUACUCUCUUUUCAUGCCGUUCUAUGACUACAUAUACAACACUAUGGACAAGUCGACGGACACGCUGUAUGAAAACUCACUCAAGGGCAAGGAGAAAGAAGUAGACGUGGUUCACCUUACGCAUCUCACCAGCCUGCAGUCCAUUUACCAUAUAAGGACCGGGUUCGCCCAGUACGCCUCCAAGCCGUACACUUCCAUGUGGCAACUGCGGAUCAUGUGGCCCGUGUCAUGGCUGUCCAUGGUACUGACGUGGGCAUACGGUUCUUGGUUCACAGUUGAGAGGAAUUCCAUGAAGAAGCUCCGGAUGCAGUCAUGGGCUAUACCAAGAUACAAUUUCCAUUAUGGACUGAACAAGGAGAAGGAGGCAAUCAAUGACCUGAUUGAGAAGGCAAUAUCUGAAGCUGGUAAGAAAGGAGCUAAAGUUGUUAGCCUUGGACUUCUGAAUCAGGCGCAUAGCCUCAAUGGAAGUGGAGAACUUUAUCUGCAGAAAUACCCAAAGUUGGGGGUAAGACUUGUGGAUGGCACUAGCCUAGCUGCUGCAGUGGUCAUCCAUACUAUUCCCCAGGGCACAAAUCAAGUUAUCCUUGCCGGAAAGAUUUCGAAGGUCGCUCGUAGUGUUGCUGCAGCACUCUGCAAGAAAAACGUCAAAGUCAUAGUGACAAACAAGCAAGAGUACCAUCUCCUUAAGCCCUGUAUACCUGAAAAUGAAGCCGGCAAUCUUGUAUUAUCAACAACUAGCACUGCAGAGGUGUGGCUCAUUGGAGAAGGUCUGGAUGCUGCUGAGCAGUUGAGGGCACCGCGAGGAACAAAGUUCAUCCCAUUCUCACAGUUCCCGCCAAAGAUGGAGCGCAAGGACUGCUGCACCUAUGCGAUGACUCCUGCAAUGGGUGUACCUGAAUCGAUGCAAAACGUGCACUCGUGCGAGAAUUGGCUGCCAAGGAGGGUCAUGAGCGCGUGGCGCGUCGCUGGAAUUGUUCAUGCAUUGGAGGGAUGGAGCGAGGAUGAGUGCGGAGACACAGUGCUGGACCUGGAGAAAGUGUGGUCUGCUGCAAUUAUGCAUGGGUUCCGCCCUGUUGCACAACUUUGA
rnacentral:rRNA from 1 species